rnacentral:rRNA from 1 species
GGAAGGCGGGGACGACGUCAAGUCAUCAUGGCCCUUACGACCAGGGCUACACACGUGCUACAAUGGUAGGUACAGAGGGCAGCUACACAGCGAUGUGAUGCGAAUCUCAAAAAGCCUAUCGUAGUCCAGAUUGGAGUCUGCAACUCGACUCCAUGAAGUAGGAAUCGCUAGUAAUCGCGGAUCAGAAUGCCGCGGUGAAUACGUUCCCGGGUCGACGCGGCCG